ensembl:lncRNA
AAAAAAAUUUAAUCGUCAUCACCUUUCACCCCUCGACGGGAACUCCACAAAGCUACUUGCGCUUGGCGCUUCUCACUUGCGUUUCAGACCGUUAAAAUAGGGCCCCUGUUCUCCAUUCCAAUCAGGCUCCUCCACUUAUCCUAUCUUAUCCUACCCAGACAGCAGGGCUGUAGGUUCUUUAGAUGGGUCUGAUUUACUACACUACACUAUUCACAUGCACCCAUACACUACUGUAAUGAUGGUUACAUGGUUUAUCGUCAUCUCUUUAUAGAGGUUAUUGGUUCUAAAUAAAUAUACUUCAGUUAAACUUCUGUGUGGUCUCCCCUUUUUUGUCAUGGAUUACAAGCUAGUUCAUGACACUGCACUGGUUAGCGAGGAGGAGGAGCAGACACUCACUCUUCAGCACCACCAGGUGAGGUCCAUCUUGAGAAGGAUUGACACCAACAAGGCUACUGGCCCUGAUGGGGUGUCGGGCCGUAUACUGAGCUCAUGUGCCAACCAGUUAGCAGGAGCUUCUACAGAAAUCUUCAACCACUCCCUGCAACAAGCUGCAGUUCCCACCUGCCUUAAGACCACUACCAUCGUCCCUAUCCCCACAAAUUCUGCCAUUCCCUGCCUCAAUGACUACCGCCCAGUCGCCCUCACCCCAGUAAUCAUGAGGUGCUUUGAGCGGAUGAUACUGGCGUACAUCAGAGACUGCCUCCCUGUGGACCUGGACAGCCACCAGUUUGCCCAUAAGGC